UCAGAUCACGUCAAAAUACACCCUUGACUCCCCAUACCCUCCUCUUUUCGAUGCCCUAAAAAUCAAACAUCGAGUACAAGCCAAUCGUUUCGAAUAUUAGAUUCUUUGGACGCCGCCCCCGCCGUCCACGCCGUCGCCGUCGCCGGUACCCUCCCAAAAUAACACCACAUACUCCUCACCCCUUCCCCAUAAUGAAUCCAUGGUUGCAUUCUUCCAAACCCCUACCCAUCACUUCGAAUAUUAGAUCGAAGCUCUGACCCAAACCCCCAACCUCACCAAAUGGUACCAAGUGACCUCCUCACCUUCCUUUCCACAAAUCCACGACCAUCAGCCUUUGAAUACAAUCAGACUUGGCUUAAAAAUCAUAUCAAAAUAGCCUGAAACCCAGACCCCAUCCCAAGCUAACUAACCCUAGCCUGAUAUCCUCUCCCAUUCUCAAGUAACGAUACAAGGGUCUCAGAAGGCCAACAGACCCUCCUAGAAAUGGUCGAAAAUCUUAAGACUUGAAGGGUCCCAAUAUUAGGGUCACAACGUUAAAAGCUAAGUUCUCAUUGUUCUUCCUUAUGAUUGCUUUAAUUUCCUUUGUUCUUUCUCCUGAUGGCUUUUAAUCUUGUUUUUUUAAUUUCUAAUUGCUUUUGAUCUUCUUUGUUUUCAUUUGUGUAAGUACAUGAAUUUUCUAUCAGUUCAUCUUUGAAAUAUCCUGAGUAGUUGCUUCCAUCUAGAAUCAUGUGCUUGUCUUUGUUUUAAAUUUUGAUAACAUACUUCUGAAUAGUCUGCUUAUCAUUUGAAGUCAUAGUUGUUUCGUUCGACUCAUUUGUAUUAUCAUGCUAAGCUCAGAAUUGUUCAUCUCUGGUCUAACUU
rnacentral:lncRNA from 1 species